rnacentral:rRNA from 1 species
UACGGAAGGCAGCAGUGGGGAAUAUUGCACAAUGGGCGCAAGCCUGAUGCAGCCAUGCCGCGUGUAUGAAGAAGGCCUUCGGGUUGUAAAGUACUUUCAGUCGUGAGGAAGGUGUUAAGGUUAAUAACCUUAGCAAUUGACGUUAGCGACAGAAGAAGCACCGGCUAACUCCGUGCCAGCAGCCGCGGUAAUACGGAGGGUGCGAGCGUUAAUCGGAAUUACUGGGCGUAAAGGGCACGCAGGCGGUUAAUUAAGUUGGAUGUGAAAUCCCCGGGCUUAACCUGGGAAUGGCAUUCAAGACUGGUUAGCUAGAGUCUUGUAGAGGGGGUAGAAUUCCGAUGUGUAGCGGUGAAAUGCGUAGAGAUGUGGAGGAAUACCGGUGGCGAAGGCGGCCCCUGGACAAAGGCUGACGCUCAUGUGCGAAAGCGUGGGGAGCGAAACAGGGAUUAGAUACC